rnacentral:rRNA from 1 species
UUCCGGUUGAUCCUGCCGGACCUGACUGCUAUCGGAUUGAUACUAAGCCAUGUUAGUCUUUGUAGUAAUACAAGGCAUACGGCUCAGUAACACGUAGUCAACCUAACUUAUGGACGGGGAUAACUUCGGGAAACUGAUGAUAAUACCCGAUAGGUCAUUAUGCCUGGAAUGGUUUAUGACUAAAAUGAAUUUCGCCAUAGGAUGGGACUGCGGCCUAUCAGCUUGUUGGUGAGGUAAUGGCCCACCAAGGCUAUAACAGGUACGGGCUCUGAGAGGAGUAGCCCGGAGAUGGGUACUGAGACACGAAUCCAGACCCUACGGGGUGCAGCAGGCGCGAAAACUUGGCAAUGCGAGAAAUCGUGACCAGGGAACUCCAAGUGCAUCGGGUAAGACCGAUGCUUUUCUUGACUCUUCAAAGGUCUUGGAAUAAGGGGUGGGUAAGGACGGUGCCAGCCGCCGCGGUAAUACCGGCGCCUCAAGUGGUAGUCGCUUUUAUUGGGCCUAAAACGUCCGUAGCCGGUUUGGUACAUUCGUGGGUAAAUCAAGGCGCUCAACGUCUUGAAUUCUGCGAGCACGGCCAGACUUGGGACCGGGUGAGGUGUGGGGUACUCUCAGGGUAGGGGUAAAAUCCUGUCAUCCUGAGAGGACCACCUGUUGCGAAGGCGCCACACUAGAACGGAUCCGACGGUCAGGGACGAAGCCUAGGGGCACGAACCGGAUUAGAUACCCGGGUAGUCCUAGGUGUAAACGCUGUGGACUUGAUGUUGGGAGUGCUCCGA